UAUGUGAUCGUCUCUCGCAUAUCAAUAAGCGGAGGAAAAGAAACUAACAAGGAUUCCCCUAGUAACGGCGAGUGAAGCGGGAAGAGCUCAAAUUUGAAAUCUUAAAGGGUUUCCCUUUACGAAUUGUAGUUUAAAGAAGUGUUUUCUGUUGAGGUUUUGGUAAAAGUUCUUUGGAAUAGGACAUCAUAGAGGGUGAGAAUCCCGUAUUUGACCUUUACUUUCAACUUUGUGAUACACUUUCAAAGAGUCGGAUUGUUUGGGAAUGCAGUCCAAAAUGGGUGGUAAAUUUCAUCUAAAGCUAAAUAUUGGCGAGAGACCGAUAGCGAACAAGUACCGUGAGGGAAAGAUGAAAAGAACUUUGAAAAGAGAGUUAAACAGUACGUGAAAUUGUCAAAAGGGAAGCGUUUGACACCAGUGUUGUUCUUCUGAAAAUCAAUUAAAGAACUGUUUAUGCUAAGCUUGUUUAGACUUUAUCAGCUAUCUGUUUAGUUUUGAGCUUUUCUUUAAUGCACUUUUCAGUUAACAAGUCAACAUCAAUUUCUUUUGCUGUAAAAAAGCUUGAGGAAGGUGGCUUGAGAUUCGUCUUAAGUGUUUAUAGCCUCUUGCCUAUGCAGUCGGAGAGAUUGAGGUCUGCAGCGUAGAUCCUUCGGGGCUAAAUGCAUUUGUGCUAAGUUAUAGCAUUUUAUAGACAACUUGUUGACUAUGAUUUGUCUUGUAGCUUACUCGCUUAUGUUAUUUUACCUACGCUUAGGAUGUUGAGUAGCGACAUACGCAC
rnacentral:rRNA from 1 species